UGCCAAUGAACAAAUUUUCAAAUUUACAUCAGAGCUUCAAUUGCAAGAUCCGCCAUUGUCUGAACGACUCAAAUAUGAAGUAUGUGAGCGCUGGUCGAUUUCCAUCAACGAAACACAAUUUGCUAAUGGCCAGAACUUCAAGGAUGCGUUGUGCGACAAACUCGAGCUAUUGCUGAACGAAAUUCGAAAGUUGAAAGACGUGACCGAAAAGCAAAAAUGUUUUUCGACGAAGGCGAACGCGACUGUCUUGAAUCUCAAGGAACAAUGCUCCAUCAAAACACAAAAUGACAUGGAUCAAGGCGACUCGUCGAAACGAAUGCAAACAAUGCCGGAAUAGGAAUUGGCAAUGGCUCUGGACAAUGAAAUAAUAAUUACGCCUGAUGAGGGACGUGACGAUAUGUCUGGAGACGACUCAUCAGACGAUGAGGGAACAGACGAAGCCGUUCACCAAAAACCGGCGUUCAAAGUCGUAAUUGGGCCCGAUUUGGUGAGACGCAUACACAUACACACAUAUGUUUGGUGGCCGUCCGGUUAUUUUGGUAGAGGAUGA